GAUGAACGCUGGCGGCGUGCCUAAUACAUGCAAGUCGAGCGAACAGACGAGGAGCUUGCUCCUCUGACGUUAGCGGCGGACGGGUGAGUAACACGUGGAUAACCUACCUAUAAGACUGGGAUAACUUCGGGAAACCGGCUCUAAUACCGUAUAAUAUAUUGAACCGCAUUGUUCAAUAGUGAAAGACGGUUUUGCUGUCACUUAUAGAUGGUUCCGAGCCGCAUUAGCUAGUUGGUAAGGUAACGGCUUACCAAGGCAACGAUGCGUAGCCGACCUGAGAGAGUGAUAGGCCACACUGGAACUGAGACACGGUCAAGACUCCUACGGGACGCAGCAGUAGGGAAUCUUCCGCAAUGGUCGAAAGCCUUACGCAACAACGCCGCGUGAGUGAUGAAGGUCUUCCGAUCGUAAAACUCUGUUAUUAGUUAAGAACAAAUUUGUAAGUAAAUAUACACUUCUUGACGGUACCUAAUCAGAAAGCCACGGCUAACUACGUG
rnacentral:rRNA from 1 species